CUACGGGGUGCACCAGUUAGGAAUAAUCUACAAUGCGCGCAAGCGUGAUAGUUUGAGCCAGAGUGCUUUUCUAUUUGAAAAGCUUUUGCUGAAUGUAAAAAGUUCGGCGAAUAAGGACUGGGUAAGACGAGUGCCAGCCGCCGCGGUAAUACUCGCGGUCCAAGUCGCAGCCAUUUUUAUUGGGUCUAAAACAUCCGUAGCUUGCUUGAUAAGUUUCCUGUGAAAUCCAGCUUCUUAAGAGUUGGGCGGGCAGGAAGUACUGUCAAGCUAGAGACUGGGAGACGUAAGAAGUACGUUUGAAGUAGCGGUAAAAUGUGUUAAUCUCAAACGGACUAACAAUAGCGAAGGCAUCUUACGAGAACAGUUCUGACAGUAAGGGAUGAAGGCCAGGGGCGCAAAACGGAUUAGAUACCCCAGUAGUC
rnacentral:rRNA from 1 species